UACGAAGGGGGCUAGCGUUGUUCGGAUUUACUGGGCGUAAAGCGCACGUAGGCGGAUUCUUAAGUCAGGGGUGAAAUCCCGAGGCUCAAUCUCGGAACUGCCUUUGAUACUGGGGAUCUCGAGUUCGGGAGAGGUGAGUGGAAUUGCGAGUGUAGAGGUGAAAUUCGUAGAUAUUCGCAAGAACACCAGUGGCGAAGGCGGCUCACUGGCCCGAUACUGACGCUGAGGUGCGAAAGCGUGGGGAGCAAACAGG
rnacentral:rRNA from 1 species